GCCGCUUUAGCUCAGGUGGUAGAGCGACGCUCUCGUAAAGCGUAGGUCACCAGUUCGAAUCUGGUAAGCGGCUCCA
rnacentral:tRNA from 2 species